UACGGGGGGAGCAAGCGUUGUUCGGAUUUACUGGGCGUAAAGGGCGCGUAGGCGGCCACCGCAAGUCAGUUGUGAAAGCUCUGGGCUUAACCCAGAAAGGUCAACUGAUACUGCGGGGCUAGAGUGCAGAAGGGGCAACUGGAAUUCUCGGUGUAGCGGUGAAAUGCGUAGAUAUCAGGAGGAACACCGAUGGCGAAGGCAGUUCUCUGGGCCGUAACUGACGCUGAGGAGCGAAAGCGUGGGGAGCGAACAGG
rnacentral:rRNA from 1 species